CAGAGGGAGAUGAGGUGGGUGGUCCUUCGUUGGUGGCCGAGCCGCGGCGGCGGAGAGAGGCUGGGAUGGCAGCCGGCGAUGGAGAAGAUGUACAGCAACAGCAGCGCCGGCUCUGGGAUGGUGGCAGGCGGUCCGACCAACCGCUGCUCUCUGUCUCGGGACAGCGAGGGCGGCCACGCUGUCGGCUGAAGAAGGAGAAGGUGAUGGUGGUGUCGGGUAGGAACAGGCGGCGUAGCUGCGGCGGCGGGAGUGACAGGAGACGAGGGAGAAGUUCCGGGCGGCGCUCGUCGCCGGGCAAGAUGGAGCAGUCGAGGGCAAGAUGGAGCAGUUGAGGGAGAGGAGAGUCAAGGGUGGCGGCGUAUUCGGCGGUGGCUGCCGUUGUCCGCCGGAGGAGAUUCGGGGGAGAGAAGGGGCGGGUUUGGCGUGAAGAGGGAGAGAAGAGAGAGGCAAGAGAGGCGUGUGUGUGUGAGCGGCUGAAGGGGGGGGAAGAAAAGGGGGAUAAGUGUGGAUUAGGGCUUGGUUAGAGUUUGGGCCGAUUUUUAAUGGGCUGGGUUUUUUGAUUUAAUUUUCAGUGGGCUUGUGAAUUGGGUUGAUUUUAAUUGAGAGUUGGGCCGAUUUUCUUUGCUUGAAAUUUCGAAUUGGGCUGAGUAUUUGGGCCGAGAAUUUUAUUUAUUUUUGUUUCAGCUGGGCUUUUAAUUAUUAAAUCUGUUGGGCCUUUACUAAUUUAUUUAAUUGGGCUGUGCAGUUUCUUUAUUUUAAAAUGGACUACACUAUUUAAUUAAUUAGACUUAUUAAGUUUGAUUAAUUAUUUUAAAUUUUUAUAAUAAUAUUAAAUUAUUAUUAUGUGCAUAUUUUAAGUAAUUACUUAUUAUAUGCUAAGCAUGACAUGAUUUGCAUUAUAUUUUGCAAUAAGAAUAUUUAUGAUUUAAUUGGUUUUAUUAUAAUUCCAAUUAUUAAAGAAAGAUGAGUAAGAAUAUUGUUGGUGUUCUUAACUCAAGAGAAAUGUUUUCAAUUAUUUAUUCAUUAAAUUUUGAAAACCCGGCUAAGUGAAUCAUAGAAUAUUAAGCACUACACCAUGACUUAAGAUUAGAAUUCAAGGAGACCUAUUGAGAAUAGAUUUCUUGUAGGCUUUGAGCAUCAGGAGGAUUAGCACUGCUAUUCCGAUUCAGAAAUAAAGUUAAACGACAGGCUUUGCCUAGACAGGUUAAUGGCUGGUGAUGACGGGGCAGAGCUGAGGCUAGGGUUCAACUCCGUAUUUUGUCUUCCGCUAUUGCACUAGCUUUUAUUUGUCUUUUGUUUCUCCAACUUAAGACUUUUAUGUUAAAUUCUGAAUUAUGUUUUUAUCGAGCUUAAACUCUCAACUUCUAGCUCUAUGUUAUUUAACGUUGGUUAUCGGAAGCAUGAAACCGAACUUGUGAUCCUAAGGCUUUGAAUGUUGUUGAUUGAUUAGUAUCACUUGAUUUCUAUCUUUCUUCAUUCAAAGGGCAUUGCCCAACAUUUUUAUUCUA